AUUGAACGCUGGCGGCAGGCCUAACACAUGCAAGUCUAACGAGUGGCGGACGGGUGAGGAAUGUCUGGGAAACUGCCCGAUGGAGGGGGAUAACUACUGGAAACGGUAGCUAAUACCGCAUACCAUCGGAUGUGCCCCGAUGGGAUUAGCUAGUAGGUGGGGUAAAGGCUCACCUAGGCGACGCUCCCUCGCUGGUCUGAGAGGAUGUCCAGCCACACUGGAACGGAGUCACGGUCCAGACUCCUACGGGAGGCAGCAGUGGGGAAUAUUGCACAAUGGGCGCAAGCCUGAUGCAGCCAUGCCGCGUGUAUGAAGAAGGCCUUCGGGUUGUAAAGUACUUUCAGCGGGGAGGCGUUACCCGCAGAAGAAGCACCGGCUAACUCCGUGCCAGCCGCCGCGGUAAUAC
rnacentral:rRNA from 1 species